UACGGAGGGCGCGAGCGUUGUCCGGAUUUAUUGGGCGUAAAGAGCUCGUAGGCGGCUUGUCGCGUCGACUGUGAAAACCCGAGGCUCAACUUCGGGCUUGCAGUCGAUACGGGCAGGCUAGAGUUCGGUAGGGGAGACUGGAAUUCCUGGUGUAGCGGUGAAAUGCGCAGAUAUCAGGAGGAACACCGAUGGCGAAGGCAGGUCUCUGGGCCGAUACUGACGCUGAGGAGCGAAAGCGUGGGGAGCGAACAGG
rnacentral:rRNA from 1 species